rnacentral:rRNA from 1 species
CCUACGGGUGGCAGCAGUAGGGAAUCUUCCACAAUGGGCGCAAGCCUGAUGGAGCAACACCGCGUGAGUGAAGAAGGGUUUCGGCUCGUAAAGCUCUGUUGUUGGAGAAGAAAGUGCGCGAGAGUAACUGUUCACGCAGUGACGGUAUCCAAACAGAAAGUCACGGCUAACUACGUGCCAGCAGCCGAGGCAAUACGUAGGUGGCAAGCGUUUACCGGAUUUAUUGGGCGUAACGCGACGGCAGUCGGUGGGUUAGGUCUGAUGUGAAAGCCUGCGGCUUAACCGAAGAAGUGCAUCGGAAACCGGGCGACGUGAGUGCAGAAGAGGAUAGUGGAACUCCAUGUGUAGCGGUGGAAUGCGUAGAUAUAUGGAAGAACACCAGUGGCGAAGGCGGCUGUCUGGUCUGUAACUGACGCUGAGGCUCGAAAGCAUGGGUAGCGAACAGGAUUAGAUACCCUUGUAGUC